rnacentral:rRNA from 1 species
AGCAGCCGCGGUAAUUCCAGCUCCAAUAGCGUAUAUUAAAGUUGCUGCAGUUAAAAAGCUCGUAGUUGAAUUUCGGGAUCAAUAUGUUGGUCGUGCCUCGGUACGUACUAGCUUAUUGGUUUCUCCCUUCUGACGAACCAUGAUGUCAUUUAUUUGGUGUUAUGGGAAAUCAGGACUGUUACUUUGAAAAAAUUAGAGUGUUUAAAGCAGGCUCACGCUUGAAUACAUUAGCAUGGAAUAAUGAAAUAGGACGUUUGAUUCUAUUUUGUUGGUUUCUAGGAUCGACGUAAUGAUUAAUAGGGAUAGUUGGGGGCAUUAGUAUUCAAUUGUCAGAGGUGAAAUUCUUGGAUUUAUUGAAGACUAACUACUGCGAAAGCAUUUGCCAAGGAUGUUUUCAUUAAUCAAGAACGAAAGUUAGGGGAUCGAAGACGAUCAGAUACCGUCGUAGUCUUAACCAUAAACUAUGCCGACUAGGGAUCGGAUGAUGUUAAUUUUUAAUGUACUCAUUCGGCGUAC